rnacentral:rRNA from 1 species
GACGAACGCUGGCGGCGUGCCUAAUACAUGCAAGUCGAACGCUGAAGGAGGAGCUUGCUUCUCUGGAUGAGUUGCGAACGGGUGAGUAACGCGUAGGUAACCUGCCUGGUAGUGGGGGAUAACUAUUGGAAACGAUAGCUAAUACCGCAUAAUAGCCGUUGUUGCAUGAUAACCGUUUGAAAGGUGCAAUUGCCCCGCUACCAGAUGGACCUGCGUUGUAUUAGCUUGUUGGUGGGGUAACGGCUCAACAAGGCGACGAUACAUAGCCGACCUGAGAGGGAGGUCGGCCAAACCUGGACCUGGGCACGGCCCAGGCCCCUACGGGGAGCAGCAGGAGGGGAACUUCGGCAAAGGGCGGAAAGCUGACCGAGCAACGCCGCGGGGGGGAAGGAGGGUUUCGGGUCGGAAAGCUCUGUUUUAAGGGAAGGACGAGUAGGAGGGUAGAAAGUUGACGCUGUGACGGUAUCUAACCAGAAAGGAACGGCUAACUACGUG